AGAUCUGUCGACUGGCCGUUUUGCAAUGUGACAGUCCAAUCUGAUAUUUACCAAAACAUUGUCAAAUUAUCAGAUUGGACCUUCGGUUGUCCAUCGGUUUAAUUAUUAAUUUUAAUGAUUUAAAUUUAUUUCUAAGGUAUAUAUCCGAUCUGAUAUCUGACACGAAAGACACGCUGUUAAGGACCCGCUUCAGAAACAGUAAACAGGUCAUCAACAAUCGGAUCCCACCAAAGGGAAGCCUACGGAAGGGUGGCACCCCCCCGGGGACGGGUUCGGCGGCACAGAAGGGAAUGUUAACUCCGGAGAAAAAUUGGACUCGUUCUGGAAAAAGAAAAUGAUAUCGCGGUACGUCAAGAUAAAGGAAAGUUUGAAGAAACGCUAUGAAGAUCUGGAUGAAGGGACGAGCGCACUGCGGGUGAUCAAUCCGGUGGCCCUGCUGGACAAGAAAGCCAAUAUCGAGCGAGCGUUGCUCGAGGGCGAGAAUGACUUCCAGUUUUGCCCGAGGGAAAUGUAACCGGAUUUGAAAAACAAGGCAUUUGACAAGAGCUGAGUGGGACCAAAUUCGAAGGACUAUGGGAAAACCAAGAUGUUGUUCGGUAGCCGUACUAGAGGAGGAACGUCGUGAGUUGGAACGCAAGCGGCGUAAGAUUGAGCUACUGCAGUCCAAGCGAUCAGAAGAGCUUUCUUUUGUUCGGAAUCUUCCUAAUGAUAUUCCUCAACAGCUUACGGUAGGCACUAAGGUGACGGCUCCUUUGCGUUCUCCUCAGCAUGGUCUGUUAACGUAAACCAUAGAGGCGAUUGAUGUGAUGUCCAGUUAAUAUCGGGUGUGUUUCGAUCGACCCGAUUUGAAUGCCCUUACGAUUCCAGACUUCGAGAUUAUAGCCAACGAUAAUCCGGAAAAGAUUGCUCUGUACUCUAUCACGAAAGACUUCCGACAUAAGUAUCAGAAUGCUUCAUUCUAUGUCGCUUCACCUGCCGUAAAAACCUCAUCACUGGUAUCACUGGCAAUCCUUUGUUUGCGAGGUAACAGUUAUUCGAAGAUUUCCGGUAUGCCCGAGAUCAAUAUGCUUUUCUCGAAAUAUAACAU